rnacentral:rRNA from 1 species
AUUGAACGCUGGCGGCAGGCCUAACACAUGCAAGUCGAAUGGUAACAGGAAACAGCUUGCUGUUUCGCUGACGAGUGGCGGACGGGUGAGUAAUGUCUGGGAAACUGCCUGAUGGAGGGGGAUAACUACUGGAAACGGUAGCUAAUACCGCAUAACGUCGCAAGACCAAAGAGGGGGACCUUCGGGCCUCUUGCCAUCAGAUGUGCCCAGAUGGGAUUAGCUAGUAGGUGGGGUAACGGCUCACCUAGGCGACGAUCCCUAGCUGGUCUGAGAGGAUGACCAGCCACACUGGAACUGAGACACGGUCCAGACUCCUACGGGAGGCAGCAGUGGGGAAUAUUGCACAAUGGGCGCAAGCCUGAUGCAGCCAUGCCGCGUGUAUGAAGAAGGCCUUCGGGUUGUAAAGUACUUUCAGCGGGGAGGAAGGGAGUAAAGUUAAUACCUUUGCUCAUUGACGUGACCCGCAGAAGAAGCACCGGCUAACUCCG